CGGGGUGCCUGUGUACCAGGGCAGGAUGAGGUGCCCAGGCCUGGCAGAGACCUCUGUCUUCCCAAUACCUCUCAAACAGCAAGAAGGAAGCGGCGCAGUUUGGAAGCCGUGGCAGGCGCCGAGAGUGCUUCUGAACCGGAGCCUGGGAGGGGAGAGAAAGAAGAGGAGCCGCAAAGGGGCUGCUCUCUGGCCCCAUUCGCCUUGGAGGAUUCUUCCCCUACCCCGCCAAGGCGGCUGCAGUCCCCCCACCCCACCCCAACACUGAGAACGCGACCUCCUAACCUGGUCUCCCGGCUCCGCGGGGCCGAGCCCCUUCCACCCCACCCUAGAGCUUCCAGUCCCAACCACUGGAGACCAAGUCGAGUGAAGUGGGAAAAGGGCAGCCAAGUACCCAACGAGCGACCCAGAAGAGCCUGAUGGCCCUAAGAAGUUAGUAGGCUUUCUUCCCACUUGCCCUUCCAACUUCCCUCCCCACCCCAUCUCCCCAGGGCUCCUCUGGGUCCUGGUCCACUCUGCCUUCCUGAGAACUGAAUCAACAGAACUCCUAGGGAAGGAGGUGCCAAGCCUCUUCUUCCCUCCCGGAUGCUUGCUUCUUCUGCCCAACUCCCUCCCAGGAGGAAUACUGACCAGGGAGAAUGCCACUCUCCUUGUGCAAAUCGUGCAUCGCACAACUCCAGGGGGCACCAUUUCUCUCCUAGCCCCUUGUACAUUUGUGUAGCUGUUAUGACCGUUUUCCAGCAGAUGGCAGUCAAGCAUUUCCAGAGUGUCCAGGUGACAGGAGGAAGACAGGGGCUGGAAGCUGAACUUGUAGAGACAGAGCCCAAAAGUUGCAAACUGACGGCACCUACUGGCAACUAUCAAGACUGCAGGAGGGCAAACAGGGCGAGGCUUCUUGCGUCCCUGGGUGAAGCCCAGCGGCCCCUGAUUCAGGAAACUUCCCCCGGCCCUAUCCCCCUUCAUCGUCACUGAGCCACCAACAUAUUGCAUGAACUUGGACACCCCCCCUUGGAGCUAGAAUGUCCCUAACUAUAAAAUGGAGACUUGCCCCCUAGACAGCAAGCCUGAGAGAGCUUACGGUGCUGGGACAUGGAGGAAGGAGUGCAGGAGAGGCUGGAUUGAAGCCAAGAGAAGUACCUGGGAGUGAACCAUGAGUGCAGCUCUCAAGUCAUGACCUCGCAG